rnacentral:lncRNA from 1 species
UGUAAAGGAACCUUGCUUUCAUGCAUUUAACCUAUAUGCCAAUUGUGACAUUAGGAAUGUUAGAAGCCUAGAGAGGGCUUGAGAACUUGGACUAUUUGAGAAUUGGGACAAUGUCAUAAAGAGGCAUUAGGCCCGGAUCAUGGUAAUCAUUGGUAUUGAUGUUUUAAUGGAAACAUAGAACAAGAUUUGGGCUUGAUCUGUUGUGAAGCUUAAGUGUCAUAAAGAGGCACUAAGCAAGUGAGUGUUGGGACAUCACUUAGAGACAUGAGGAUUGGAUACUUGAGACUUGGACUAUACUUGCUUGCCAUUUGUGCUCAUUCGCACAUGCUUGUGAGGGUCGCUCCCUAUAAGCCAGCACUCCGGAGUUAGCCUACGCGACUUAUGUUCGCUCGUGCGGUAUUGAGAAGCCUACGGGGUCGAGUGGGACAGACACAUUCCAAGAGUAGAGAUGUUGGGCUACCACAGGCACUUAGGCGGCACAAGCUGGACUACUCUUGGUAGGUCCCUAAUUGGAAAUGGAAAUCAACACAGGAUGAGUUUGUUAUAAUCACUACUAAAUAGAGAGUGGUAGUUGGAUUACUCGGACUUGCUUCUAGCGUAGGUUUGGACUUUGGAUAUACAUACAUACAUGUAGUAUGCUAGAAGGCAGUGUUUAAUUGCAUUCAUAUAAACAAUGUUGCUACGAUAAGGGAUAAUCCUCAUAAUUUCAUUUAAGCAAACCAUGACAUUAUUUAUGGCUAAGUAGAGACAUACUCUUCAUGACAGGAUAAUUGUGCAUUACAUAAAUGCCAUGUUUAAUCGCAAGUAAUAUUUUAGUAUUUCAUUAUGCUUUCAUAGUUGCAAAUUACUCGUUAUUGCUAUCGCUUUUGACUUACCCAUUUCUUUUGGGCCUAGUGGUGCAAUGAGCUGAUGUCAGUAAUUGCCCACUGGGAACUAUAAAUUAUAGUUCUCACGCCCUCUGUUUUAUGUUUUCUUUCAGAGCCUUCCACGCCAAGAGAGGCUAGGGACCGUGGGAAGGGCGUCGCUUGGAGUUAGCCCUUCAGCGAGAGACGAGUUUAGGUGGUCUACCUCUCGAUGUUUUAUUUUGUGACAGGUUGAGAGUUGUACCCGUAUAUGUGUAGAGACCACCAUUUUUGUACUUGAGGCAGAUUUUGUACUACUUAUUGUUCCUUUUAUUGUCUAGUUUUAUUUCUAUACUUUGGUGUAGAUGAUAGGACUUUACUCGCUCUGAUAUCACUAGUUGUUACUAUCCUAUUUGUAUUAUUUCUUGCUUUUACUUCUGCUGUUACUAUAGACGCCUUAUAUGUGUUGACAUAUGGCGGGUCUGGGCACGCUACCGGGAAGGCCCCUGCCGGUCCCGGGGCGUGACAGUAAUAGUGACCUUAUGAGCAAGUUGAGCUUGAAUUGUGAACCUACAAUUCGUGCCUGGACCUAUUGCGGAUGUGGAGCCUAGACCUAUUGGGUAGGCGCAGUCAGCUGUGAGAGACAGCGGCCCGAUACUGCAGGUAGGGCGGAGAGUUUUUGGUCAGGACGGUAGUGCGAGCAUAGACCCGAGUAGUGGAAUGUCACGUGUUGGAUCGUGAAAUCGUGGAUGCACUAAGAGUGCGGUUGUGACCCAACCGAGACUUGGCGUGAUUUGGGGUCUUGGUUGCUCCAGUUGGAGCAGGUAUACGAUUCUCAAGUGAGACUGUGUCUCGUGAUAAUUGGUCUAUACUUGCGAGCGAGAGAUGUGAGUUAAGUGAUAGGCCUAGCAAAUCGCCGAUCCGAUUUGCGAACAGAUCUGUGUAAUUGAGACAGUAGUUACCGUGUGCAUUGUAAGUGAAUAUUUCGAACGUGUCCCAGUGAAGAGAAGUAUAGGGACCGUGAGAGCGAAGGCUCAGUCCUGUGGAUUAUUAGUCAGAAUUGCUAAGACAAGCAUCGAUGACGAGCUGAGAUUGAAACGCGACAAAGGGUUCGUAGAGACUGAUUCGGAGGAAUCAGAGUAGCAUAGAAUGAAAAUUUUACCUGUUAGGAUUGUUGGAACUUAUCUCCUCCGUUAGGGUAAAUAGAAAAAUAGUCUCUAAGUUUCGCGGACGAAACUUUUGUUAACGGGAGAGAUUGUAAUAUACGGAAUCUGGAGUUGCGAUGUCAAUUUUGACCUAGGGAUUAAAGUGAGGUUUGAGCAAGUUUUGUAUCUUCCCGAGGGAUUUUAAGAUUGUGGGAAUGAGUUUCAAAGAGAAAUAAGUGUUUCGGCGCAAAUUGGGCGCGAAACAAAAUGUAAAGAAAUUUCGGAUUUCGACGCUAACUUUGAUUAAAAGAAUUAAAGUGAUCAAAAUAACAUAAAAUGGUAUGAGAUACCAUUUGAUGGACUUAAGGGUGUAAAGUAUAAGUCUGGAAUGACUCGUGUUGAAUUCGGAGCGAAAACGGAAGAUUUAGAAUUUUCUGUAAAGAACGGGACUGAGAAUUAGCAGAAAAAAUGCACAGUGUCAGAAAUUAUGAAAAUUGGCGGAGAUGUCAGAAAUGGUUUUAUGAGAUAAGAUUUGAAGUUUCAUAUUUUUCUGACACAUGUAGAGAGAGAAAUAGCAUUGGAAGUUAUCUGAUAAAGAUUACAGUUCGGGACAGUUCGCAGUGACCAAACCAGGUCGAAACUGAAAUGUUAAAAUUUCAGUGGACUUGUUAAGGAAACCGAGCAUCGCUGUCAAAUUUGAGCUCAAUCGACAUUUGGAAGGGCCUGCGAAAGGUAUCUGAUCCGAGUUGCUAAACGGAUUAGUAGAAGGGCAUUAUGGUAAUUAUUCCUUACUUAUGGAUUUCCACUAAGCUGCCAGGGGCAUCUUUAUCCUCUUCACCCUCCUGUACGCAUGAGAGAGAGAACGAAAGGGAAAAAAGAAAAAGAAGAAGAAGAAGAAAAGAAGAAGAAAUUGAUGAAAUCGGUGCCGUUCGACGAGAUCGAUCGAUCCCCGCCGCGGUGUUGGAUUUCCGGGCUUCGACUGCGAGUUAGUAUUUUAUUGUUAUAAUUUCAAAUCGGAUUUUUGAUGGAUUUUUGACGGUGGAUGUUAGGAGAGGUCGUUUUGAUGGAUCUAUGUGAAUCUAUGAAAAAAAUUGAAGUUUAGAAAUUGAUUUAAUGUGAUUUAGGAGCCGAUUUCGAGACCGUUUCGUCGACCGAUUUUCCGUGACUUUCGGUUGUUGUGGCUGCCAUGCGGAUUGGUUUGGGCUGUGAGGUGGCUUCGCGAGCAGCGGUAACUGCAAGAUAUAUAACCUGAGGUGAGUUAAUUGCUCUCUAUUUGAUAAGUUGUAAAUAGGAUUUAGCUGGUUAUUAGAUUACUAAGAACCAUAUUACUAUAGAAUUGGGAGCAAGCUGUACAGGUUAAUAUCAUGCAUGAGCUUUGGCAGUUGAAAUUAAAGAGAGCUAUUUUACAAAUUUGGUUUGAGAUCGAUAUAAAUCUCUAAGUUAGUGGAUUUGGGCUCGAUAGUAGAUCCUUGUUAUUAGUAACCAAGCAAAGGCUUAUAUGAAACCUGUAGAAAUAUGUAUAUAAUAAAAGUUAAUCUCUUGUAAUACUUUAGAUUAAUGAUUGAGAUUCUUGGGUUAUGUGUGUUCUUGGCACUGGAAGCAAAUUGUUGAACUUCCAAAUCUGAGAUAUAGUUAUUACCUCCUUAUUAAGUUGAAAUAUUUACCCUACAAAGGUUGAACGUUGGUUUCUCGGAUUUUAGAACUUGCUCUUGCCAUGGGAAAUCUAAGAAAAGCCUAGAAUGGCCUACAUGUAUAUAUAGAAGAAUCUGACAGUGAGAAAACUAUGAGUAAAUUAUAAUUCCUGAUUAAGAGUAGAUGUAUGUACUUAAAGGAAUUGGUUUUGGGUAGUAGAAUUCUUGGAUUCUAAUGUUCGUCGAUACUGGAGCUUACUUCUGGUUACAUAUAAACUUAUAGAGAAGCUAUAUUAAAUAGCAUAUGUAACUCUUGGGUUGAAUCUGAGGGAUGUAAAUUUAUGGUUAUAGCAUGAAGGAUCUCCUGUAUUCAUAAAUUACUUAGUUCAAGGCUUUUAAUUGUUGAGGCUUAAAUUGCUUAUGUUCUUGUAUUAAGUUAUGUAAUGGCAGUUUAUGAUAGCUCUAAACUCAAUAAUGCAUUUUUGUAGAUUGAGACCCUAAGUGAAAUUGGUCGCGUGUAAACCUAAUUGAAGUAAAAACAAAAGCGUUGGCGAAGUCGGUUCGGCAAUCCGUCGAGCCUACGCAAAAAUAUCGCCAAAGGACGUUCGGCAUCAAUUGUCGCGACGCGGGUCGCGAUUCUCGGGAAGUGCGGGAAGUGGAUUUCUCGCGUUCAGGUAUCAAAUAAAGGUGUGUUGUUUACGAAGUGAUUAGGUUACUUCCAUGCCAAAGUAAACUGUGGUUUCAUUUGAUGCAUAUAUGAGGCAUUAUGGUUAAUGCAGAUGAUGUAUAUAUGGUAAACAGAUAAUGAACAUGCUAGAGGCAUAGAAUAUAUUGUAGAUUGUGCUAGAUACAUAUAAUUGUCGUAUAUGAACAUGAAAGCUAAUGCAUAGUUAUGCUAAAUUCAUAUGAGCAAACAUAUGGUAUAUGAAUGUUGAACCUGUAAAUGCCAAGGGCAUGAAGUUGAAUAUGAAUGUGAACAUAGAUGCUAAAGCAUACAUAAUUGUUGCCACAUAAAAGUGAAAGUUUGAUUCCUAUGUCUAAACUAUAUAUGAAAGUGAAUGUACUAUAGUUCAAGCUAUAUGAAUGUCGAUAAUUCUAGUUGAUUAGAAAUCUUGACGGCAACAAAUAAAAUGAAAAUGUGCAAAUUAUAAUCCUAGGCGUGGAUAACGAGGAUAAUGAAUAGAUCGAGUGCAUGAACUAGUGUUAUUGAACAUAGGUGGACAUGAAAUGAACCUAGUGUCAUUGAACAUAGGUUGAAUUAGUAAACUAGAGUCGAAAUCUAGGUGAAAGACAUGAAACUAGUGUAAAUGAACCUAGGUUAUGAUGUAAAGAGACACUCAGUAAAAGUAAACUAAGUUAUGAAUUAUAGUGGGAAUAGGACCACUAGGAAGUGAAUGGUAUAGACCUAAAAAGGUCGUCGACAUAGGUAAAAGAGUAAACCUUAAGUUGUGAAAGUGGAUUCGCGAAUCCCUAGGAAUGGUGCUGAUGGCAAGAAUAGAAUCAGAAACUACGGGAUUGACGGUUCCCUCCCCGGUAGUGAUUCAACGGAUCGACGUUUCUCCCUCGCCGUAUGCCAUGAAACAAGUGAAUCGAAAACUACGGGAUUGACGUUUCUCUCUCCCGGUAGUGAUUCAACGGUCGACGGUUCUCCUCUCCCGGUAUGAGCUAACGGGUUUGACGGUUCUCUCCUACCGUUAAGCUUGAGCGACUUAGGGUCACAGGAUCGACGGUUCUCCUCUCCCUGUUAUGACUUAGUGUCGCGUGGACUUAAGGCUGGGUGCUUGUGAGACGUCCUUCACCUCGAGUGACUUGACGCGGUACUCGCGGAUGAUUGACUCAAGACGAGUCGAGUGCAUAGAUGGCUAAGGUAAAAAACCUUAGGAAAGAAUCGCCAGUGAGCAUAAUUUGACAAAGAGAAAGAAUAAAGAGAAUAGCUAAUGAACGAGAAUAGCUAAGAAGAAAAGACGGCUACAAGUAAAAACGGUUAAUGAUAUAAAGUAGAAUCAAGUAAUCUACUUACGUGAUUUAAGGUAUUGCAUAUUGCAUAGACGCGAGGCAAGGUAUGGUUUUUUGUUGCAUAGUCAAUAUUUAUCUAUUUAUUUGUUGAACUAACCUACUGUUGCCUCCUUUGGACCUGGUGGGUCGAGCUCUUCUCUUGGGUGGCCGUACCCACUGGGAACUAUAUUUAUAUAGUUCUCACCCCCCGUGUUGUUUUGGGGUACAGGUUGCACGCGAGCGCGCGGCGGCGCGAGACAUGGCGUAGCUCCGUAGAUAGCGCCCCCCCACUGAAGACGGAUAGCAAUACCUGAAGAGUAAGCUCAGCGUAUUAGUAUGAAUGAAACAAAAUUGUAGUAAAAGUGUAUAAGUUGUAAUAAUUUAAACGCUUAUGUAAUAUUGUAAAGGUAGAACUCUGAGAUGUAUCUUGUAAUAGCGUAGUUAGAAUUUUAUGUUUUUGAUACUUAUGCAAUCUGUUGUUGAAUACAGUUCUUGUUUGGAACCUCUUGUAUUGCAUUGUAUAGAUUGUGACGCCUAGAACGUACAGGGGAGGCUCUGUCCGUUCGCGGUCUGUCGGCGUGCCCGAAUCCGACCAAAUUGGCGGAGCUCGGGGCGUGACAAUAUGACCCUCCACCCUAUCUUCUCUCAUUUCUCUUCUCUCAACUCUCUCCACCUCCUCUUGGUAGAAGAGAAGAGAAGAGGAGAAGGAGAAGAAGGAAGGAAGAAGAAGAAGAUUGAGAGCUUUUAGGGAGCUUGGAGGCAUCUUCCCCACCCUCAUCUUCUUCUUUGGUGUUGGAGCUUGGACUUGGAGCUUGCAAAGGAGAAGAUCUUCACCCUUUGAGCUUGGAUUGGAGUUCUUAGAGGUUGGUAGUCUUUUUCUCCGAAUCUAGACUUUAGAUUUGAGGUUUUUAUUGUUUUGGAAACCUAGAAUGAGGUUUUAGGGUUGAUUUGGGGCUUUUUGAUCUAGGGCUUUUGAGGCUAGAUUGAUGUUUUAGAACCUUCCUUGGGCUUGGAGUGGAAAGGUUCUAGCUCUCUUUUAGAGCUUGGAAGAGAUUUCUCUCUUGAGGUGAAGAUUGACGCCCUUUUGCUUCUAGGUUAAUGUUUGAUAUUAUAUGAGAUCGUAAUGCCCGUAUAUCUUGUCGCUCAAUACUUCUAGGGUAUUCGAGACUCGGGGACAACUUUGUUCGGCGAAACGAGCCCUACUCGACGGUUCGGUGGGUUUGACCUAGCCUAUGAUAUGAGAAAUGCUCAUAUUUGGCAAAUAUGUUUCGUAAAAUAAAUUCUUGCAUUUCCUUGUAAUUGUAUUUAAUAUGAAUUUUAGAAUGCUUAACAUGCAUAUAUUAUGUAUAGUGAAAUUUUAGACCCUAUGUGGUAGAGUGAUGCAUAUAAGACUUAGCAUUCUAUUUAUGAUUGGGAACCAUGAUCCUUAUUAUGUUAAAGGACCUUGCUUCAUGCAUUUAACCUAUAUGCAAUUGUGACAUUAGGAAUGUUAGAAGCCUAGAGAGGGCUUGAGAACUUGGACUAUUUGAGAAUUGAGACAAUGUCAUAAAGAGGCAUUGGCCCGGAUCAUGGUAAUCAUUGGUAUUGAUGUUUUAAUGAAACAUAGAACAAGAUUUGGCUUGAUCUGUUGUGAAGCUUAAGUGUCAAAAGAGGCACUAAGCAAGGAUGUUGGCAUCACUUAGAGACAUGAGGAUUGGAUACUUGAGACUUGGACUACUUGCUUGCUAUUUGUGCUCAUUCGCACAUGCUUGUGAGGGUCGCUCCCUACAAGCAGCACUCCGGAGUUAGCCUACGCGACUUAUGUUCGCUCAGUGCGGUAUUGAGAACCUAUGACGCCUAGAACGUACAGGGGAGGCUCUGUCCGUUCGGCGGUCUGUCGGCGUGCCCGAAUCCGACCAAAUUGGCGGAGCUCGGGGCGUGACAGAUUAAAUGGUAUCAGAGCAUAAAAGAGAAUAAAAGAGAAUACUAGAAACGGUUUAGAUGGACCUAGGAGACCUAGGAUAGUAAACCGUAAGGAUUUACACUCGUGAGAGACGUGGACUUGUGACGUGUGGCGAAAGGUAAAUCGAUUGGGUCAAGUUUAGUAAACCUCUAAGACGGAUAUUAGAGGUAGAUUCAAGGUUCAGUUUAUUCUCAGCCAAGUGAGUUCAUGUUGGGUCGACACAACAUGAAAUCGAGGGAUGGGAAUAAGCUUCCUUGCAUGACUUUCGCCCGAUUUGAGUUUGUAUUAAUUAUUUCGUAUUUGACCCAAAGGGUCGAGGACUGACCGAGUUGUCGCGUCAUGUUUCAGGGAAUGAUGGCACCGCGUAGGCUAUCUUCGUCUAGAUCGGCGCGGGAUGGGACAAGUGGUGUCCCCGAGCAUACUGAGACGAGCGGAGACUUGGAGCUUCGCGAGCAGUUGGCCACACUCGUGGGAGUGGUAAGGCAACAAGCGGAUGUAGUGCAACGUCAGCAGGACGCUGCUCUGCGCCAAGAAGAGCGGAUUAAGAGACUCCAGAAAACGGUGGAUCAGUUAGGGACCGCACUAGUUUCGGCUCGUCGUGUACGGCCAGGAGUCGCAGCGGAGGCAUUUCAGUCGGGGUCGAGCAAUCCGACUGCUGUUAGUUCAGAGAUGGAAGCGGAAAGGGAGCGAGCUUUGGCGGCUCUUAUGUCCUUCAAGAAGUUUGAUCCACCUACUUUCGAUGGAGAGGACAUAGAUCCAUGGACUGUGGAGUCGUGGAUUGACUCCAUAGAGACUAUUUUCGAGGAUUUGUACACAGUGGAGCGGGACAAGGUAUACUUAGCCGUGCAUUGUCUGCAACGGUCAGCGAAGGCGUGGUGGAAAGACAUCAAACGAAAUCGAUCGCCUAGUCUUCCUUCUAUGGUUUGGGAAGAGUUUCGGGAAUUAAUGCGUUUAACUUAUUUCCCCGAUAGUGAAAAGAGAAAGCUUCAGAACAGGUUUCAGAAACUACGACAAGGAGACCGUUCUGUGAGGGAAUACGAACGGGAAUUUUCCCGUAUCGUGAGCUCUGUUCCGAACGUGGUACAAGAUGACAAGGAUCGAGCUGAUUGUUUUGUACGAGGACUUUGGCCUGAUAUUUUCAAAGUGGUGCAUAAUCUUAAGUUGCAGACUUUUGCUGAAGUCUUGGAUCGGGCCCUGUGGAUAGAGCAAGGUAAUGCUUUUGUGCACGAAGAGCACGAGUCUCAUGAAUGUAAGCAAAGAGGAAUGAGGCUACUAUCUAAUAGUUCAGAUGAACAGUCAAGUUCUAGACGUCCCUCGACAUCGUCCUCUACCCGAUCAUCUCCAAGAUGUGUGAUUUGUGGUGGUUCCCACUGGGCACGACGUUGCGUGCAGCGGGAAGGAAAGUGCACUCGAUGUGGACAAUUGGAACACCCAGGUUAUGAGUGCUUGCAAAGUGAUAGUAUACUGGCGACAGCAUUUUCCUCUCCGGGACAACCUGCGGAUGUGCCACCCGCGGCAUGGUCUGGAGAGCGAUUGAGGAUAAGGCAACCGAGGGGUUCGCGACGGGCAGCAAGUGGCUGUGAAUAGGCGACCCAUGUGGUGGAACCUACUGCGACUGGUGGUAAUGUAGCAGGUAUGAGUUAAUUAAAGCAAGCAUGUAUUUCACUAUGAUAUAACUUGGUGCAUUGCAUGCAUUCAUUGUAUAGUCUGUACUACUAUUUGUGCAUGAGUAUAGUAGUGAUCAAGUGAACGGAUAAGUGCAGAGACCCGUACAUGCUUGUGUUGUGGAUGCGUAGUACCUGCAUGUGUGUGGCACUGUAGUGCCUGUUAAAGCAGGUAGUGAAUCUAAUGGCACUAGCAAAUCGCUGGUGAUAGCCUGUGAGAAGAAGUGAGACUCGUAGUAGAAAUGGUAGUGAUUGACCAACUCUCAAAACCAGUGCGAGUGGCUGAUUGCGAGAGUCUAGUCGUGAUGUUCGUGGAAUUCUUGUACGACCGAGCAUUUUGCAGGUUGUUCUAGUAGAUCGAACAGUGAAAGUGGAAUCACUGUUGCGUCUAGUACGUGCACGUGGACCUCGUAGUACAUCAAAGCGACGUAAGUAGGUCAUGCUCGUGUAGUCGAUAUGCAUAGGCAAGAAUUGCCUAAUGCUGGACUUAGUAUGACACGCGAUAGUGGCGUAUAGAGUGCUCGAGUAUAGGUACUCGUACUGUGCGGAUUUGAUUCAGCCGUGAGUGUGUUGGCAGUAGCACUUUAGCAUUGCUAAGUGUGAAGCGUGCCAGAGGUCACUCGUAGAGCUGGUGGCUCGCACUAGAUGCUUAGGAGCCGAUAGUGGUACAUGUGUUCAGUAGAGAGUGUCGUGUGAGACGACGUUUGCGGGUAGUGCUUGGGGACAAUUCGUGCCUGGACCACUUGCGGACUGUGGAGCCUAGACCUAUUGGGUAGGCGCAGUCAGCUGUGAGAGACAGCGGCCCGAUACCUGCAGGUAGGGCGGAGAGUUUUGGUCAGGACGGUAGUCCGAGCAUAGACCCGAGUACGUGGAAUGUCACGUGUUGGAUCGUGAAAUCGGUGAUGCACUAAGAGUGCGGUUGUGACCCAACCCGAGGACUUGGCGUGAUUUGGGGUCUUGGUUGCUCCCAGUUGGAGCAGGUAUACGAUAUCUCAAGUGAGAACUGUGUCUCGUGAUAAUUGGGUCUAUACUUGCGAGCGAGAGAUGUUGAGUUAAGUGAUAGGCCUAGCAAAUCGCCGAUCCGAUUUGCGAACAGAUCUGUGGUAAUUGAGACAAGUAGUUACCCGUGUGCAUUGUAAGUGAAUAUUUCGAACGUGUCCCAGUGAAGGAGAAUGUAUAGGGACCGUGAGAGCGAAGGCUCAGUCCUGUGGAUUAUUUAGUCAGAAUUGCUAAGACAAGCAUCGAUGACGAGCUGAGAUUGGAAACGCGAACAAAGGGUUCGUAGAGACUGAUUCGGAGGAAUCAGAGUAGCAUAGAAUGAAAAUUUUACCUGUUGAGGAUUGUUGGAACUUAUCUCCCUCCGUUAGGGUAAAUAGAAAAAUAUGUCUCUAAGUUUCGCGGACGAAACUUUUGUUAACGGGAGGAGAUUGUAAUAUACGGAAUCUGGGAGUUGCGAUGUCAAUUUUGACCUAGGGGAUUAAAGUGAGGUUUGAGCAAGUUUUGUAUCUUCCCCGAGGGAUUUUAGAUGUGUGGGAAUGAGUUUCAAAGAGAAAUAAGUGUUUCGGCGCAAAUUGGGCGCGAAACAAAAUGUAAAGAAAAUUUUCGGAUUUCCGACGCUAACUUUGAUUAAAAGAAUUAAAGUGAGCAAAAUAACAUAAAAUGGUAUGAGAUACCAUUUGAUUGGACUUAAGGGUGUAAAGUAUAAGUCUGGAAUGACUCGUGUUGAAAUCGGAGCGAAAACGGAAGAUUUAGAAUUUUCUGUAAAGAAUGGGACUGAGAAAUUAGCAGAAAAAUGCACAGUGUCAGAAAAUUAAGAAAAUUGGCGGAGAUGUCAGAAAUGGUUUUAUGAGGAUAGAUUUGAAGUUUCAUAUUUUUCUGACACAUGUAGAGAGAGAAAUAGCAUUCGGAAGUUAUCUGAUAAAGAUUACAGUUCGGGACAGUUCGCAGUGACCAAACGAGGUCGAAACUGAAAUGUUAAAAUUUCAGUGGACUUGUUAAGUAAAACCGAGCAUGCCUGUUAAAUUUGAGCUCAAUCGAACAUUUGGAAGGGCCUGCAAAAGGUAUCUGAUCCGAGUUGCUAAACGGAUUAGUAGAAGGGCAUUAUGGUAAUUAUUCCAUUACUUAGUGGAUUUCCACUAAGCUGCCUGGGGCAUCUUUAUCCUCUUCACCCUCCUGUACGCAUGAGAGAGAGAAGGAAAGGGAAACAAAGGAAAAAAGAAGAAGAAGAAGAAGAAGAAGAAAUUGAUGAAAUCGGUGUCGUUCGACGAGCCGAUCGAUCCCCCGCGCGUGUUGGAUUUUUCCGGCGCUUCAACUGCGAAGUUAGUAUUUUAUUGUUAUAAUUUCAAAUCUGAUUUUUUGAUGGAUUUUUGACGGUGGAUGUUAGGAGAGGUCGUUUUGAUGGAUCUAUGUUGAAUCUAUGCAAAAAUUGAAGUUUAGAAAUCGAUUUUAAUGUGAUUUAGGAGCCGAUUUUGAGACCGUUUCGUCGACCGAUUUUUCCGUGACUUUCGGGUUGUUGUGGCUGCCAUGCGGAUUGGGUUUGGGCUGUGAGGUGGCUUCCGAGCAGCGGUAAUCUGCAAGAUAUAUCAACCUGAGGUGAGUUAAUUGCUCUCUAUUUGAUAAAGUUGUAAAUAGGAUUUAGCUUGGGUUAUUAGAUUACUAAGAACCAUAUUACUAUAGAAUUGGGAGCAAGCUGUACAGGUUACUAUCAUGCAUGAGCUUUGGCAGUUGGAAAUUAAAGAGAGCUAUUUUACAAAUUUGGUUUAGAGAUCGAUAUAAAUCUCUAAGUUAAUGGAUUUGGGCUCGAGUAGUAGAUCCUUGGUUAUUAGUAAAGGUUUUAUCCUAGUAAACCAAGCAAAGGCUUAUAUGAAACCUGUAGAAAUAUGUAUAUAAUAAAAGUUAAUCUCUUGUAAUACUUUAGAUUAAUUGAUUGAGGUUCUUGGGUUAUGUGUGGUUCUUGGCACUGGGAAGCAAAUUGUUGAAGCUUCCAAAUCUGAGAUAUAGUUAUUACCUCAUUAAAGUUGAAAUAUUUACCCUACGAAGAGGUUGAACGUUGGGGUUCUUGGAUUCUAGAACCUGCUCUUGCCAUGGGAAAUCUAAGAAAAGCCUAGAAUAGGCCUACAUGUAUAUAUAGAAGAAUCUGACAGUGAGAAAAACUAUGAGUAAAUUAUAAUUCCUGAUUAAGAGUAGAUGUAUGUACCUUAAAGGAAUUGGUUUUGGGUAGUAGAAUUCUUGGAUUCUAAUGUUCGUCGAUACUAGAGCUUACUUCUGGUUACAUGUAAACUUAUAGAGAAGCUAUAUUAAAUAGCAUAUGUAAGCUCUUGGGUUGAAUCUGAGGGUUGUAAAUUUAUGGUUAUAGCAUGAAUGGAUCUCCUGUAUUCAUAAAUUACUUAGUUCAAGGCUUUUAAUUGGUUGAGGCUUAAAUUGCUUAUGUUCUUGUAUUAAGUUAUGUAAUGGCAGUUUAUGUAGAGCUCUAAACUCAAUAAUGCACUUUUGUAGGAUUGAGACCCUAACGUGAAAUUGGUCGCGUGUAAACCUAAUUGAAGGUAAAACAAACGCGUUGGCGAAGUCGGUUCGGCAAUCCGUCGAGCCUACGCAAAAAUAUCGCCAAAAGGACGUUUUCGGCAUCAAUUGUCGCGAGCGCGGGUCGCGGUUCUCGGGAAGUGCGGGAAGUGGAUUUCUCGCGUUCAGGUAUCAAAUAAAGGUGGGUUGUGCUUUACCGAAGUGAUUAGGUCACUUCCAUGCCAAAGUAAAUCGUGGUUUCAUUUGAUGCAUAUAUGAAUGCAUUAUGGUUAAUGCUAGAUGAUGUAUAAUGGUAAACAGAUAAUGAACAUGCUAGAGGCAUAGGAAUAUAUUGUAGAUUGUGCUAGAUACAUAUAAUUGUCGAUAUAUGAACGUGAAAGCUAAAUGCAUAGUUAUGCUAAAUUCAUAUGAGCAAACAUAUGGUAUAUGAAUGUUGAACCUGUAAAUGCCAAGGGCAUGUAAGUUGAAUAUGAAAUGUGAACAUAGAUGCUAAAGCAUACAUAAUUGUUGCCACAUAAAAGUGAAAGUUUGAUGCCUAUGUCUAAACAUAUAUGAAAGUGAAUGUACUAUAGUUCAAGCUAUAUGAAUGUCGAUAAUUCUAGUUGAUUAGAAAUCUUGACGGUAACAAAAUAAAUGAAAAUGUGCAAAUUAUAAUCCUAGGCGUGGAUAACUAGGAUAAUGAAUAGAUCGAGUGGCAUGAACCUAGUGUUAUUGAACAUAGGUUGGACAUGAAAUGAACCUAGUGUUAUUGAACAUAGGUUGGACAUGAAAUGAACCUAGUGUCAUUGAACAUAGGUUGAAUUAGUAAACCUAGAGUCGAGAUCUAGGUGAAAGAACAUGAAACCUAGCGUAAAUGAACCUAGGUUAUGAUGUAUAGAGACACUUAGUAAAAUUAAACUAAGUUAUGAAUUAUAGUGGUAAUAGGACCACUAGAAAGUGAAUGGUAUAGACCUAGAAAGGUCGUCGACAUAGGGUAAAAGAGUAAACCCUUAAGUUGUGAAAGUGGAUUCCGGAAUCCCUAGGAAUGGUGCUGAUGGCAAGAAUAGAAUCAGAACUACGGGAUUGACGGUUCUCCUCUCCCGGUAGUGAUUCAACGGGAUCGACGGUUCUCCUCUCCCGGUAUGCCAUGAAACAAGUGAAUCGGAACUACGGGAUUGACGGUUCUCCUCUCCCGGUAGUGAUUCAACGGGAUCGACGGUUCUCCUCUCCCGGUAUGAGCUAACGGGUUUGACGGUUCUCCUCGCCCGUUAAGCUUGAGCGACUUAGGGUCACAGGGAUCGAUGGUUUUCCUCUCCUUAUGAUGGACCUAGUGUCGCGUGGACUUAAGGCUGAGGUGCUUGUGAGACGUCCUUCACCUCGAGCCUGACUUGACGCGGUACUCCACGGAUGAUUGACUCAAGACCGAGUCGAGUGGCAUAGAUGGCUAAGGUAAGAUAACCUUAGGAAAGAAUCACCAGUGAGCAUAAUUUUACAAAGAGUAAAGAAUAAAGAGAAUAGCUAAUGAACGAGAAUAGCUAAGAAAGAAAAGAACGGCUACAAGUAAAGAACGGUUAAUGAUAUAAAGUAGAAUCAAGUAAUCUACUUACAUGAUUUACAGGUAUUGCAUAUUGCAUAGCAGCGAGGCAAAGUAUGGUUUUAUUUGUUGCAUAGUCAAAUAUCUAUCUAUCUAUUUGUUGAACUAACCUACUGUUGCCUCCUUUGGACCUGGUGGGUCGAGCUCUUCUCUUGGGUGGCCGUACCCACUGGGAACUAUAUUUAUAUAGUUCUCAC